rnacentral:rRNA from 1 species
CCUACGGGAGGCUGCAGUGAGGAAUAUUGGUCAAUGGACGCAAGUCUGAACCAGCCAUGCCGCGUGCAGGAAGACGGUUCUAUGAGUUGUAAACUGCUUUUGUACGAGGGUAAACGCAGAUACGUGUAUCUGUCUGAAAGUAUCGUACGAAUAAGGAUCGGCUAACUCCGUGCCAGCAGCCGCGGUAAUACGGAGGAUUCAAGCGUUAUCCGGAUUUAUUGGGUUUAAAGGGUGCGUAGGCGGUCGGUUAAGUUAGAGGUGAAAUCCCGAGGCUCAACUUCGGAAUUGCCUCUGAUACUGUUAGGCUAGAGAGUAGUUGCGGUAGGCGGAAUGUAUGGUGUAGCGGUGAAAUGCUUAGAGAUCAUACAGAACACCGAUUGCGAAGGCAGCUUACCAAGCUACGUCUGACGUUGAGGCACGAAAGCGUGGGGAGCAAACAGGAUUAGAUACCCCAGUAGUC